AAUGGAGCAAAUGUUGAAGUUCUGGUUCUGGACAGAGCACCGGACCGUCACCUGUAGGACUCGUCUCAACCUGCAGAAAGCAAACAGGAAGUCGUGGCGUCAUGAGAGGAAGCUCUCACUGAGGGAAUCGAUCAGAACAGAUCAAGAUUCAGUCUGAUGAUGUUUAAAUUAAGUCUUUAAGCUCCAGGAAGUUUUGAUCUCCUGCAGACAGACGCAGAUCCUGAAGCUGGAACGUCUCUGAAAAGUUGUGGAGGAGGAGGAAGUGACAUCACCAGGAUCCUGGAGACGUUUCCAGAUCGGAUCACGUUUGUUCAGAAGUUCGAGACGUUUCUUUACCUCCAUCAGACGGAACCCCCACCGAGAGCCAGACGAUCGAUAAUCUGAAUAUAUUCUGAGUUUCACUUCCU